rnacentral:lncRNA from 1 species
CUUACAACCCAUCUUUAUUUUAGGACAAGAUUUUGGAAUUUAAGACAAAGCCUAAUUAGGUCCAGACAAGGGUUGUGAAGGUUUUAAAGAAAGAGAUUUAGAAGUUUAGAGGAGGUUCUAAGAGGGUCGAGUCAGGUUCUUAGAGAAAUCUGACCGAUAUGAGGCUAGUCGAGUUCUAAGGACUAGAACUCUUGAAGCAA